rnacentral:rRNA from 1 species
GGAAGUAAAAGUCGUAACAAGGUUUCCGUAGGUGAACCUGCGGAAGGAUCAUUACCGAUUGCAAAACCACGCAAAAGUUUCUCUGACGCGGAAGCAGUGUUCGUUCGAUUUAUCCAGUGAAGAACACUACUUCCCAAGGCAAAAUGGCAAAAAAAGUUUCUCUGACAGACAGACAGACGCGCGGAGGCAGUGUUCGUUCGAUUUAUCCAGUGAAGAACACUGCCCAAGAAAGGGAACCAUCUUGGUCGUGGCCUAUGAUGAGAGAACAGAGAGAGAUCGAGUCUAACUCACUCUCUCUCUCUCUCUCCUCGUCACGGACGAUGCAAAACAAACACCCACUGGCCUUAUAUUGCAUUUAUCUAACGCCAUGGCAUACACGCCUGGCACCUGGUACGGGACUCUCGUAGUCUCUUGAACCACCUUACAACUCUGAGCGGUGGAUCACUUGGCUUGUGGAUGCUAUGAAGACCAUAGCUAAGUGUGAGAAUGGCAGCGAGCCGUCGCUAUAUGCGCUGUCCUCUUCUUAUCACAUGUCGAAUGCACAUUGCGCCCCACCCAGUGGUCGGCUUACAUCCUGAAGACAAAAGCCUGGUGGCUGGAACAAAGGUAAUCGUGUGGCCCCCGAGCAACGGCGGGGGAGCCAGGAGCACAGGCGCGUGCGUUCCAGCCCCUCGUGAGUAAUCAAAGCUGAACCCCAUGGUGGGGCACUCCUAGUCGAGUGUGGUGGACGCAAGUCUUCUCCUCUCUUCCACCACCGCUCCGGCGGAUGUGUGUUGCUAGAGAUGGUGGAACGCUAAGUAAUUUUGGUCGACAUCAGUCGUGCCUGUAAAUACCUGCCUUAGCUCGUGCCUCUGUACUGUGUUCUCACGAUAGGCAAGUACAUUGAAGGCCAUAGCUGGCGAUCAUUCGUGCGGCCAGGGCACCUUCGGGUGCGCAGCGGUCCAAAAGGUUUUCUUACGAGAGUGCAGUGCACGUGGGACAGCAAAAGGGUGUGACAAAUGUGACGCAUGGACGGAUGCCCUCGGCUUUGUGGCAAAUCUCUGGUGAAGGUUCGCUUGUCUCGCACUCUUCGUAGUCGGGAAAGAUUCCUUAACAUCUCCACACUUAAAGGCACAACCACUCAAGGCGGUCGGCGGGAAAACAUACGCAGCCGUCUUGAUGUGUGUCGUGGAGAGAAAGCCAGAUUUUUGUUGCGUUAAUAAGGGCGCGCUUACACACAGCGCUAAAGGGAGAUAUGGAACCCGUCGCACAAACGCUUGUCCUGCUGCCAGCACAAACGGAUCUCGUGAGAUUUUUUCCACCACCUCGACUUAGGAGAGGCUACCCGCUGAACUUAAGCAUAUCAGUAAGCGGAGGAAAAGAAACCAAUCAGGGAUUCCCUUAGUAGGGGCGACCGAAAAGGGAUGAGCCCAGCGCAGAACCUCCCGGGCCACCCGGCCUGCGGCGGAAUGUUGCGUUAAGGGAAAGGUCGUAGUCAAACCCCACAGCCACGCGAGCUCUAAGUAAGUCACGAAUCGGCUAUCCCAACUAACGGCGGGAAAGUCUCCACGGAGGGUGUAAGACCCGUGUGGGCGUGUGUAAAUGCUGUGUGGGCUCGGCCUCUUUUCCCUGAGAGUCGCGUUGCUUGAGCAUGCAGCGCUAAGCAGGUCGUAAACUCGAUCUAAGGCUAAAUAUGUCCACAAGACCGAUAGUGAACAAGUACCGUGAGGGAAAGUUGAAAAGCACUCUGAAGAGAGAGUCAAAAGACCGUGAAACCGCUCAGAGU